rnacentral:rRNA from 1 species
CCUACGGGAGGCAGCAAUUAGGAAUCUUGCACAAUGGACGAAAGUCUGAUGCAGCGACGCCGCGUGAGGGACGAAGGCCUUCGGGUUGUAAACUUCAUCAAAGCACCGGCUAACUACGUGCCAGCAGCAGCGGUCAUACGUAGGGUGCAAGCGUUACCCGGUCUUACUGGGCGUAAAGAGUUCUGUAGGCGGAUAUAUAAGUUCGGGGUUAAAGACCCCCGCUCAACGGGGGGAAAGCUUUGAAUACUGUAUAUCUAGGAGGCGGUUAGGGGAUAGCGGAACGUAAGGUGUAGCAGUGAAAUGCGUUGAUAUCUUACGGAACACCGAGGGGGAAGCCAGCUAUCUGGAGCCGUCCUGACGCUGAGAGACGAAAGCGUGGGGAGCGAAACGGAUUAGAUACCCUUGUAGUC